rnacentral:rRNA from 1 species
GACGAACGCUGGCGGCGUGCUUAACACAUGCAAGUCGAACGGAAAGGCCCUGCUUUUGUGGGGUGCUCGAGUGGCGAACGGGUGAGUAACACGUGAGUAACCUGCCCUUGACUUUGGGAUAACUUCAGGAAACUGGGGCUAAUACCGGAUAGGAGCUCCUGCUGCAUGGUGGGGGUUGGAAAGUUUCGGCGGUUGGGGAUGGACUCGCGGCUUAUCAGCUUGUUGGUGGGGUAGUGGCUUACCAAGGCUUUGACGGGUAGCCGGCCUGAGAGGGUGACCGGCCACAUUGGGACUGAGAUACGGCCCAGACUCCUACGGGAGGCAGCAGUGGGGAAUAUUGCAGAAUGGGCGGAAGCCUGAGGCAGCGACGCCGCGUGCGUGAAGACGGCCUUCGGGUUGUAAACCGCUUUCGCCUGUGACGAGGCGUGAGUGACGGUAAUGGGUAAAGAAGCACCGGCUAACUACGUG